GACGAACGCUGGCGGCGUGCUUAACACAUGCAAGUCGAACGGAAAGGCCCUGCUUUUGUGGGGUGCUCGAGUGGCGAACGGGUGAGUAACACGUGAGUAACCUGCCCUUGACUUUGGGAUAACUUCAGGAAACUGGGGCUAAUACCGGAUAGGAGCUCCUGCUGCAUGGUGGGGGUUGGAAAGUUUCGGCGGUUGGGGAUGGACUCGCGGCUUAUCAGCUUGUUGGUGGGGUAGUGGCUUACCAAGGCUUUGACGGGUAGCCGGCCUGAGAGGGUGACCGGCCACAUUGGGACUGAGAUACGGCCCAGACUCCUACGGGAGGCAGCAGUGGGGAAUAUUGCACAAUGGGCGGAAGUCUGAUGCAGCAACGCUGCGUGCGGGAUGACGGCCUUCGGGUUGUAAACCGCUUUCGCCUGUGACGAAGCGUGAGUGACGGUAAUGGGUAAAGAAGCACCGGCUAACUACGUG
rnacentral:rRNA from 1 species